UGGGUAGGGGAGCGUUCUGUAAGCCUGCGAAGGUGUGCUGUGAGGCAUGCUGGAGGUAUCAGAAGUGCGAAUGCUGACAUAAGUAACGAUAAAGCGGGUGAAAAGCCCGCUCGCCGGAAGACCAAGGGUUCCUGUCCAACGUUAAUCGGGGCAGGGUGAGUCGACCCCUAAGGCGAGGCCGAAAGGCGUAGUCGAUGGGAAACAGGUUAAUAUUCCUGUACUUGGUGUUACUGCGAAGGGGGGACGGAGAAGGCUAUGUUAGCCGGGCGACGGUUGUCCCGGUUUAAGCAUGUAGGCUGAUUGUCCAGGCAAAUCCGGAUAAUCAAGGCUGAGGUGUGAUGACGAGGCACUACGGUGCUGAAGUAACAAAUGCCCUGCUUCCAGGAAAAGCCUCUAAGCAUCAGGUAACAUUAAAUCGUACCCCAAACCGACACAGGUGGUCAGGUAGAGAAUACCAAGGCGCUUGAGAGAACUCGGGUGAAGGAACUAGGCAAAAUGGUGCCGUAACUUCGGGAGAAGGCACGCUGGUGUGUAGGUGAAGCCCCUGCGGGUGGAGCUGAGACCAGUCGAAGAUACCAGCUGGCUG
rnacentral:rRNA from 1 species